rnacentral:tRNA from 1 species
GCGGGUGUAGUUUAGUGGUAAAACCUCAGCCUUCCAAGCUGAUGGGUUCGAUUCCCUUCACCCGCUCCA